rnacentral:rRNA from 1 species
UACGUAGGGGGCAAGCGUUGUCCGGAAUCAUUGGGCGUAAAGCGCGUGUAGGCGGUUCGAUAAGUCUGCUGUGAAAGUCCAGGGCUCAACCCUGGAAAGCCGGUGGAUACUGUCAGACUAGAGUGCGGAAGAGGCGAGUGGAAUUCCCGGUGUAGCGGUGAAAUGCGCAGAUAUCGGGAGGAACACCAAUUGCGAAGGCAGCUCGCUGGGACGUUACUGACGCUGAGACG